rnacentral:lncRNA from 1 species
GCCACAACUUCCUUUUCCAAAUGAUUACGAAUAUUAGUAAAAACCACUAAAUUAUAGGGGAUUUUUUAACAUUAAUUAUAGGGAAACUAUACUCAAUAACUACAACACUUAACUAAAUUAUAAACAUGACCACAAAAAUUAGCUAGAAUAAUCUAAAUUAACCGCCAUUUUCCCUUGAUAACAACACACCCACGACAUCUUGGCUGCGUUUCCUUUUCUAAUUACUAUUAUUAUCAAAUAAUUUAUCGUUUUUUCUCCCAUGGUUAAUUUUUAAAUUCUUAAAAAUGCUAUUCAACUCAUAAUUUUAUUUAAACACACAGUGUAAUCUUUACAUGACAUGUUUUCAAAUUUUAAACAGAUAUAUGAAGAAUGAUAUAUAUA